rnacentral:lncRNA from 1 species
GUCUCUCCCUGCCCUUUAGAAGAUCUCAGGGCUUCCGUCCAGUUUGGAUCUUCAGAGCUUGAUGCGCCCGAAGGAGCCAUCAUCAUCUUACCGAAAUAGGUUUCGGCACUCAUGACGGCCCCGACAAUUAAAAGAAAGGACAAGGUCAGACUUCCGGGGAACCCCUUUAUUAAGAAGGAAGUGAAGGUGUACCUCCCUAGAGAGCCCCCAACUCUAUAACAUUUGGUCUCAAACAACUCUAUUUUAUCAAGUUUCAGGCAAAUAUAAUAAAAGCACAUAAUAGAGGAAGAAGAAGUAGGAAGGAAUAGAAAAAAUGACGGACUCUAUUGAUCAGACUCGUUAGUUCCGCAGCUCGGGGAGAAAGUUCCAUAAUUCAAUUCAAGAUAGAUAGAAGGGAGAAUGCCGCUUUAGAAAAAAAGAAAAAUCAUAAGGAAACAUUAUGAAAAGAAAAAUCUAUCUCAAGAGAGAAGUCUAUUA